CACAAAAGAAGUGAAAAGGCCCUGCCCCACCUUAAAUGAUGACAUUCCACCAUUGUGAUUUGUUCCCACACCGCCCCUAAUCCCACUUGAAGCAGCUCUGAGAAACAUCGCCCAUUCUCUCUCCAUACCACACCCCAAAAAUUUUCGCCUCCCCAACACUUCAACACUAUUUUGUUUUAUUUUUCUUAUUAAUAUAAGGAGGCAGGAAUGUCAGGCCUCUGAGCCCAAGCCAAGCCAUCGCA
rnacentral:lncRNA from 1 species